rnacentral:rRNA from 2 species
GGUUAAGCGACUAAGCGUACACGGUGGAUGCCCUGGCAGUCAGAGGCGAUGAAGGACGUGCUAAUCUGCGAAAAGCGUCGGUAAGGUGAUAUGAACCGUUAUAACCGGCGAUGUCCGAAUGGGGAAACCCAGUGUGAUUCGUCACACUAUCGUUAACUGAAUACAUAGGUUAACGAGGCGAACCGGGGGAACUGAAACAUCUAAGUACCCCGAGGAAAAGAAAUCAACCGAGAUUCCCCCAGUAGCGGCGAGCGAACGGGGAGCAGCCCAGAGUCUGAAUCAGCUUGUGUGUUAGUGGAACGGUCUGGAAAGUCCGACGGUACAGGGUGAUAGUCCCGUACACCAAAAUGCACAGGUUGUGAACUCGAAGAGUAGGGCGGGACACGUGGUAUCCUGUCUGAAUAUGGGGGGACCAUCCUCCAAGGCUAAAUACUCCUGACUGACCGAUAGUGAACCAGUACCGUGAGGGAAAGGCGAAAAGAACCCCGGCGAGGGGAGUGAAAAAGAACCUGAAACCGUGUACGUACAAGCAGUGGGAGCACCUUCGGGUGUGACUGCGUACCUUUUGUAUAAUGGGUCAGCGACUUAUAUUCUGUAGCAAGGUUAACCGUAUAGGGGAGCCGCAGGGAAACCGAGUCUUAACUGGGCGUUAAGUUGCAGGGUAUAGACCCGAAACCCGGUGAUCUAGCCAUGGGCAGGUUGAAGGUUGGGUAACACUAACUGGAGGACCGAACCGACUAAUGUUGAAAAAUUAGCGGAUGACUUGUGGCUGGGGGUGAAAGGCCAAUCAAACCGGGAGAUAGCUGGUUCUCCCCGAAAGCUAUUUAGGUAGCGCCUCGUGAACUCAUCUUCGGGGGUAGAGCACUGUUUCGGCUAGGGGGUCAUCCCGACUUACCAACCCGAUGCAAACUACGAAUACCGAAGAAUGUUAUCACGGGAGACACACGGCGGGUGCUAACGUCCGUCGUGAAGAGGGAAACAACCCAGACCGCCAGCUAAGGUCCCAAAGUCAUGGUUAAGUGGGAAACGAUGUGGGAAGGCACAGACAGCCAGGAUGUUGGCUUAGAAGCAGCCAUCAUUUAAAGAAAGCGUAAUAGCUCACUGGUCGAGUCGGCCUGCGCGGAAGAUGUAACGGGGCUAAACCAUGCACCGAAGCUGCGGCAGCGACACUAUGUGUUGUUGGGUAGGGGAGCGUUCUGUAAGCCUGCGAAGGUGUGCUGUGAGGCAUGCUGGAGGUAUCAGAAGUGCGAAUGCUGACAUAAGUAACGAUAAAGCGGGUGAAAAGCCCGCUCGCCGGAAGACCAAGGGUUCCUGUCCAACGUUAAUCGGGGCAGGGUGAGUCGACCCCUAAGGCGAGGCCGAAAGGCGUAGUCGAUGGGAAACAGGUUAAUAUUCCUGUACUUGGUGUUACUGCGAAGGGGGGACGGAGAAGGCUAUGUUAGCCGGGCGACGGUUGUCCCGGUUUAAGCAUGUAGGCUGAUUGUCCAGGCAAAUCCGGAUAAUCAAGGCUGAGGUGUGAUGACGAGGCACUACGGUGCUGAAGUAACAAAUGCCCUGCUUCCAGGAAAAGCCUCUAAGCAUCAGGUAACAUCAAAUCGUACCCCAAACCGACACAGGUGGUCAGGUAGAGAAUACCAAGGCGCUUGAGAGAACUCGGGUGAAGGAACUAGGCAAAAUGGUGCCGUAACUUCGGGAGAAGGCACGCUGGUGUGUAGGUGAAGUCCCUGCGGAUGGAGCUGAGACCAGUCGAAGAUACCAGCUGGCUGCAACUGUUUAUUAAAAACACAGCACUGUGCAAACACGAAAGUGGACGUAUACGGUGUGACGCCUGCCCGGUGCCGGAAGGUUAAUUGAUGGGGUUAUCCGUAAGGAGAAGCUCUUGAUCGAAGCCCCGGUAAACGGCGGCCGUAACUAUAACGGUCCUAAGGUAGCGAAAUUCCUUGUCGGGUAAGUUCCGACCUGCACGAAUGGCGUAAUGAUGGCCAGGCUGUCUCCACCCGAGACUCAGUGAAAUUGAACUCGCUGUGAAGAUGCAGUGUACCCGCGGCAAGACGGAAAGACCCCGUGAACCUUUACUAUAGCUUGACACUGAACAUUGAGCCUUGAUGUGUAGGAUAGGUGGGAGGCUUUGAAGCGUGGACGCCAGUCUGCGUGGAGCCAACCUUGAAAUACCACCCUUUAAUGUUUGAUGUUCUAACGUUGGCCCCUUACCGGGGUUGCGGACAGUGUCUGGUGGGUAGUUUGACUGGGGCGGUCUCCUCCCAAAGCGUAACGGAGGAGCACGAAGGUUAGCUAAUCCUGGUCGGACAUCAGGAGGUUAGUGCAAUGGCAUAAGCUAGCUUGACUGCGAGCGUGACGGCGCGAGCAGGUGCGAAAGCAGGUCAUAGUGAUCCGGUGGUUCUGAAUGGAAGGGCCAUCGCUCAACGGAUAAAAGGUACUCCGGGGAUAACAGGCUGAUACCGCCCAAGAGUUCAUAUCGACGGCGGUGUUUGGCACCUCGAUGUCGGCUCAUCACAUCCUGGGGCUGAAGUAGGUCCCAAGGGUAUGGCUGUUCGCCAUUUAAAGUGGUACGCGAGCUGGGUUUAGAACGUCGUGAGACAGUUCGGUCCCUAUCUGCCGUGGGCGCUGGAGAAUUGAGGGGGGCUGCUCCUAGUACGAGAGGACCGGAGUGGACGCAUCACUGGUGUUCGGGUUGUCAUGCCAAUGGCACUGCCCGGUAGCUAAAUGCGGAAGAGAUAAGUGCUGAAAGCAUCUAAGCACGAAACUUGCCCCGAGAUGAGUUCUCCCUGAGACUUUAAGUCUCCUGAAGGAACGUU